GUGCCAGGGACCAGGGCUGCCUCUCGGGCUGUCCAGAACAAAACUGGGCUGAGUCGUCUCACAGCCCUUUGGUCUUCGGUUUUCCCACAUGAAGUGUCCCGAGAUGAAACAGAGAAAGGACCCCUUGGAGAUGGCAUCGUCCUGGCUGGACCCUGUGUCUCAAGGAAGACUGUAGGUGGCCAACUGCUGCACAGCAACCUUCAUGAUGGUGGAAAAUCACUGUGAUUUUGGCUUGGUGGUCCUGUGACAUUCAUUCCAGUCUUCAUUUGUUGAGUGACCAAUCAGAUGGGUGGAGUGUGUUACAGAAACUGGCAGCAAGUAUCCAAUGGGUGAAGAAGGUAAGAUAGACCAACAUUACUGAGAGGUUCAUGUGUUACUAUUUAUAUGGAAGCAGAAACUAUAUCUACCGAGGUGUUCCUCAAACCUGUUUGCUUUGAAC
rnacentral:lncRNA from 1 species